CUACGGGUCGCUGCAGUGGGGAAUCUUGGACAAUGGGCGCAAGCCUGAUCCAGCCAUGCCGCGUGAGUGAAGAAGGCCUUAGGGUCGUAAAGCUCUUUCGCCAGAGAUGAUAAUGACAGUAUCUGGUAAAGAAACCCCGGCUAACUCCGUGCCAGCAGCCGCGGUAAUACGGAGGGGGUUAGCGUUGUUCGGAAUUACUGGGCGUAAAGCGCGCGUAGGCGGAUUAGUCAGUCAGAGGUGAAAUCCCAGGGCUCAACCCUGGAACUGCCUUUGAUACUGCUAGUCUUGAGUUCGUGAGAGGUGAGUGGAAUUUCGAGUGUAGAGGUGAAAUUCGUAGAUAUUCGGAGGAACACCAGUGGCGAAGGCGGCUCACUGGCUCGAUACUGACGCUGAGGUGCGAAAGUGUGGGGAGCAAACAGGAUUAGAUACCCUAGUAGUC
rnacentral:rRNA from 1 species